CUUGUCUGUCAGAGUGAAGUUUUAAUGCCCAUUAAAGAAAGACAACAUAAUCCCAAAUCCUUGCAAUGCAUUGCCUAGUGUCUUUUCUAGAGGCGAUUAAAUUUUAAUACUAAACUUCAAGGAGUAAUAAAACCAAGAAGUGGCACAUGGGAAGGGAGCGACGACAGACUUCUUAGGUCUGGGGAAGAGAGAAAGUAUUUUUGUGUCUUUGCCCUGACUCACCGUGGCCUCUUGCCAUUUCAGGGCCCACCUUACGCAUCUGCACAGAUAGAAUCCACUCAUGGAAUAAAAAUGUGGAAAAGUGUGGAAAAAA
rnacentral:lncRNA from 1 species